AAGAUGGCGACCGGCGCACGGGUGAGUAACACGUAUCCAACCUGCCGAUAACUCCGGAAUAGCCUUUCGAAAGAAAGAUUAAUACCGGAUGGCAUACGAAUAUCGCAUGAUAUUUUUAUUUAAAGAAUUUCGGUUAUCGAUGGGGAUGCGUUCCAUUAGUUUGUUGGCGGGGUAACGGCCCACCAAGACUACGAUGGAUAGGGGUUCUGAGAGGAAGGUCCCCCACAUUGGAACUGAGACACGGUCCAA
rnacentral:rRNA from 1 species